rnacentral:rRNA from 1 species
GAUGAACGCUGGCGGCAUGCCUAAUACAUGCAAGUAGAACGCUGAAGGAGGAGCUUGCUCUUCUGGAUGAGUUGCGAACGGGUGAGUAACGCGUAGGUAACCUGCCUGGUAGCGGGGGAUAACUAUUGGAAACGAUAGCUAAUACCGCAUAACAGUAGAUAUUGCAUGAUAUCUGCUUGAAAGGUGCAAUUGCAUCACUACCAGAUGGACCUGCGUUGUAUUAGCUAGUUGGUGAGGUAACGGCUCACCAAGGCGACGAUACAUAGCCGACCUGAGAGGGUGAUCGGCCACACUGGGACUGAGACACGGCCCAGACUCCUACGGGAGGCAGCAGUAGGGAAUCUUCGGCAAUGGACGGAAGUCUGACCGAGCAACGCCGCGUGAGUGAAGAAGGUUUUCGGAUCGUAAAGCUCUGUUGUAAGAGAAGAACGAGUGUGAGAGUGGAAAGUUCACACU